rnacentral:snRNA from 1 species
AAGCAAGGCAAUCUGGCUGUGGCAUGACACCCAUCAAUUGCCAGGCUGAUUUGGCUGGCUGUGUGAGUGUCCCCUUCCUCCUUCACCAUCUCACAUAUACUCCUCCCAAAUCUCCCAAAGCUACACCUUCAGUUGAAGACGGUGACCUUCUCCAAUGGAAAACUGUUUGUUCCUAAGCCAAGAUAUGCAAGUAGCUUCACUCCCCUUCUAGAACUUUCAAAGAAGAUUUCUUGGUAAACCUUCAAGCUCUCUAGGAAAACUGUGGCCAGUAUGCAGGGUUACAGAGUAAGUCCAUCGUGUCUCUAGGGANACAGGCUGCUUUUCCUU